rnacentral:rRNA from 1 species
UACGUAGGUGACAAGCGUUGUUCGGAUUUAUUGGGCGUAAAGGGCGCGUAGGCGGUCAGCACAAGUCAGUUGUGAAAUCUCCGGGCUUAACUCGGAAAGGUCAACUGAUACUGUGCGACUAGAGUGCGGAAGGGGCAACUGGAAUUCUCGGUGUAGCGGUGAAAUGCGUAGAUAUCGAGAGGAACACCUGCGGCGAAGGCGGGUUGCUGGGCCGACACUGACGCUGAUGCGCGAAAGCCAGGGGAGCGAACGGG